UACGAAGGGGGCUAGCGUUGCUCGGAAUUACUGGGCGUAAAGCGCACGUAGGCGGUCUUUUAAGUCGGGGGUGAAAUCCUGGAGCUCAACUCCAGAACUGCCUUCGAUACUGGAGGACUUGAGUCCGGGAGAGGUGAGUGGAACUGCGAGUGUAGAGGUGAAAUUCGUAGAUAUUCGCAAGAACACCAGUGGCGAAGGCGGCUCACUGGCCCGGUACUGACGCUGAGGAGCGAAAGCGUGGGGAGCGAACAGG
rnacentral:rRNA from 1 species